AAGUAAGCUCCUGGGACUGCAUGUUGGUUCCUCCCAGGACUGGCCCUUACCCUGGGGGUAUAAAUCCAGCUCUGCCCUGCCCAGCAGCCACUGAGCAAGGUUUGCAGUCCCAGGUUCCCCACUCACCCCACACGACCGCAGCUUUACGGCGACGAAGCUAAAGAUGAACAAGCUCUUGGUUCUCGGCUUCUCUGCCCUGCUCUGCUGUGUCUCAGCUGAAGCCCUUCGAUGUACCGUUUGCCAAAACAAAAUACCCGUCUUCGGCUGCAUCAAAGGAUUGGGCAUCUGCCACCCUGCGCCAGGGCUACCCUGCAAAUACAUCAGAGUCUAUACCACAGGCAUCCAGUUUCAUUCACAGGCAGAUUGUGCUGUGCAAGGCGACAAAUGCAACAUCAUGGAGCCAACGAAGUCUGGCCACCGCCAAAUUUCCUGCUGCAAGACUGACUUCUGCAACAGUUAGAACUACCAACAGCACCAAUGUGGAUCUCCACCUCAUGGAAUUGUGGGGCCUGUGUCCAUGCUAUAGGGAUCCCAAGCCCUUCUCUCAUCCCCCAUCUCAGGCUUCAAGAUGCCUCCACAAUCCAAGACCACCACUUAGGACCUCACUGCCUUUAUCGUGCUAAUUUGACGCAUCCAAAAUUAUCCUCAGUGUGAAAACUCUUGCCAUACAUGGCACUAACAGGCUCCCUGCCAGACUGACUCAGCCACAAUAAAGGCCCUCACAGCUGGGAGCUCAUAUACCUCUGCCUUACUAAGCAGAGAUCCCAUUUACCUGCAUUCACACCCACGUCCCCGCCUCACUGAUUAUCCUAUUUCACCAUUCCCUCAGGCAACAGAGAGUAAUUUGGGUCAGUGGAGAGAGCACAGGCUAGGAACUCUGGAGUUCCAAUUCUACUAGCUGUAUCCUAGGGCAGGUCCCCUCACCGUUGCAUGUCUUGUUUAUGCUAGGAGAUUUGCACUAGUUUACCCAAAUCAAUUUAAAAUCUAUUUAAAACUAAUGCAACCUUUAAAAUCAGUACAUUUAAACCAGUGAAACUCUCACUUAAAUCACUUUAAUUUGCAUCAGUAAUUACUGAGGUAAGCUAAAAAGAUGCAAGUGAAACUGAUUUAAGUGCAUCUACAUUAGGGGUUUGCACCAGCUUACCUACACCAAUUUAGGUCUUGAAUCGAUUUAUCUGAUAAGGAAUUAACUUCAGUUUGGUUGGUAAAAGCACUCAAACUGAAAUAAGAGUGCCUAUGCAAGGGAGACUGACAUUCAAGCAAUCUCCACGUAGCCAAAGCCAGCAGCUGGUGCAACAUUUCAGCGGUCUCUGAAAUAUUGCUGGUGUACUGAGCGUGUAUCCGUUCGCCUACGAUAUUGUGCUGCUGAACUGUGAACUUUGCUUCGUUUGGAUUUCUCUACUUUUUUCCCCGGGUCUAUAAACCCCAUUCUUGCUAAAUUGAAAUCUCAGCAGUUCUGAUUUGUUUUGGGGGUCCCCCCUUGCAUAUGCCAGGCAGCCUUUUGAUGUCUCCAAAGCAUUCUAAUGCCAAAAAACCCUACAACACUCUUGGCCAGAUACAGUCUAUUCAUUUAAACCACAGUCGCCGUUUGACCUCUGUUUUGGGAGGCUACAUCAGAUGGCCAGGGGGCCUGUAUCAGGAAUAUGUAAGCCUUUUCUUUCAAGUUUAGGGCUAAAGCUAGGAAUGAAGAGGUCACAAAACAAAACGUGUCGCUAAACCACUGCUUGAAAACUGGCAGUGUCAUACCUGACUUCGGUCAUUAUGGGAGUGAGCUUUGAACUGCUCCUUUACUGCCAGGCCUGCUGGAGCAGCAAGCCUGAUUGAUUAAAGGACUCGGAGGCAUAGCAGGAAACUGAAUGCUGAGCCAAAACUGGAACCCCCUCCCCACCCAAUUUGGAAGCCAUGAAAAGACUCCCUAACCUUUUUACUGAAAUAGACCCAGAAAGGGGGCACUCC